UACGUAGGGUGCAAGCGUUACUCGGAAUUACUGGGCGUAAAGCGCACGCAGGUGGCUGAGUCAGUCGAUUGUGAAAGCCCUGGGCUUAACCUGGGAAUUGCAGUCGAUACUACUCAGCUAGAGUAUGGGAGAGGGCAGUGGAAUUCCCGGUGUAGCGGUGAAAUGCGUAGAUAUCGGGAGGAACAUCAGUGGCGAAGGCGGCUGCCUGGCCCAAUACUGACACUCAGGUGCGACAGCGUGGGGAGCAAACAGG
rnacentral:rRNA from 1 species